CUGUCUUUGACAGCUUUUAUCUGCAGCAAUACGUUCUUCUCUGCUCCCAGAUAGAUGGAGGUUUCAGAGACAAACCUGGGAAGGGUAGAGACCACUACCAUACGUGUUACUGUUUAAGUGGUCUUUCAAUUGCUCAGUAUAGCUGGACCAACGAAGCUGAUGCUCCACCAUUACCCAAGGAUGUAUUUGGUCCUUAUUCUCAAAAUCUCUUGGAACAGAUUCACCCACUGUACAACAUAGUGUUGGAUCGGUAUUAUGAAGCUCGCAGGUUCUUCUCAUGCUUGUGAGAAUAUUUCACUCGGUAGGUUUAGCUGGAAUUGUGCCACUAGCUGUUCAGAAACAGAGACAAUCAAGACUUUAGAGGCAUUGGAUUCAGAAUGGCUGUGAUCAAUUAUGUAUAAAAUUUUAUUUUUUGCUUAUGUAUACAUGGUUUGAGUUGAAAGUACUGAGUUCGGUUGAACCUGCUGAACCAUCUCUAGAUCCGCCUAUAAAUUGGAAACUCACUAAAAUUAUUAGCUUGGAAUUGCAUAUGCAUGUUAAGUGGCUAUGAUCUACGAAGCUGGAAGCUGGUGAUUAGUGAUCUUAAAUUUCAUUUUUGGAAAGCAAUCAUCUGUCACUUGUUAUCCGGCUGCAACUUUUCUCGGAGAGAAUUUUAUAAUUGCAACUUCUAUUUGCUAUGUUAAUUACACAAAUUGUGCACUACAUUGCCUGUAAUCUGCGGUCGUUUGUUUUAA